UAUAAUAUAAAGACAUGGAAAUAAGGCAAUAACACGAGACUGGUCCAGCACUCGUAUUGAUAAUCAUAAGUCUCUUAUUUUUACUGUUAGACUUGACAGAUGGACCAGGGAGAUUACUUUAUUGAUCCGUUGGAUCCAGCAGAAGCGACGGAAGUGAAACAACAGAGGAAGGAGACCUAUUCUGACCGGUGGUUGUAGACAGGUGUUUUCUGAAUGAAGAAAAAAACCCAACCAAAAGUCAUGUCCGUUCAGUUAAUGUCCAAUCAAUAGUAUGUCCGGAUACAGACUGUGAAUCGUGGGACACAAAAGCUGUCAUUUUGUUUUCUUGACUAUUGGAGUGAUUGUGUAUUUUUGGCAGUAAUUCUAAAUGAGACUUGCAUCGAAGAAAAAAAUAUCUGUCGUUUAAUUGUGUUAGCUUAUUCACAUACGUGUGACAGUUUUCGAAAAUGUGUCCCAUUUACUGAACAUUCAGUGAACAAAAAUAACAAUUUCUAUCACAAGGCAGAAGAAAAAGAUGGAGUUAAUGUCCGAAGCAAUUGCCUGAUAUGACAAAAUUGAGUCUUGGAUGGUGACAAACUCCAAAAAUGGAUUCUAAAAAUAUGAACGUUGAUAUCAAAAGACAACGAACAAUAGAGACAAGUUAGGACCUUUCAACGAGUUUAAUACACCGAGCAAAAUAUUAUAAAUAGUUGACUUCAGAAAUAAAAAGAUGAACUCUAGUACGGCAACUGAAAACUACCAUAGCGAUUCCACGGACAAUACUGCAGAAAGAAUAGCUCUGUUAAGACUUCAAUACCACUGCCAUCUUCUUUCCAAUUUCAACGUCACAAGAGAAGCCAAUGAAACAUAUUGUGAGCCUCAUUAUGAUAAAGUCCGAUGCUGGUAUGCAGCUAAAGCUAACACUACAGUUAUUGCCCCUUGUCCGGCUGAACUCCGGGCUCCAGAUCAUGUGGUUGCCGUACGGUACUGUGGGGUGGAUGGACAGUGGACAAAUUUGUCAGACUACAAACAAUGUAUAGACUUCAUUGACGGCAAAUAUCUUCCUAAAGAUGAUUUGAGUCUGUUAGCUCCGACACAAGAACUGUCCAGAUCCGUCUUUAUAAUGCGGGACAUAUACUUCGGCUGUAGUCUGGUGUCAUUAUUUUUCCUAUGUAUCACUCUGUUUGUGUUUUGUUACUUUAGAUCAUUGCAGUGCAACAGAGUGACCAUCCACAAACAUCUGGUCGUUUCCUUCAUUCUUCGGUUUGUCAUCAUAGUAUUUCUGUUUGAGCCCCUUGUGUUUGGCCACGACGUUUACUACACCAGAUUGGAUUGGUUUUGUAAGACGAUCAUUGUUUUGAGUCAAUACACAAUGGUCAGCAACAUUUUGUGGAUGUUUGUGGAGGGCCUAUUUCUACACAAUAGUAUUGUCGUUACCGUUUUCUCUACUGAUGCCCCUUAUAAGCUCUUCUGUGCUAUUGGAUGGGGUCUUCCUGGAGUUAUUGCCAUUUCAUGGGCUAUUGCCAUGCACUUAACAAUGGAAACCUCCUGCUGGCAGAACAACUCACAAUCGCCAUAUUCCUACAUUGUUUCCGGCUCUAUACUACUCGCUCUGGCUGUAAGGGUUAAAUGUAAAUCUCUUCUUCCUUGUAAAUAUUAUACGAGUGUUAGUGACGAAACUCAGAGCUCACAAUACCCAUGAGUCAUCAAGAAUAAAAAAAGCAAUAAGAGCAACAGUCAUUCUAAUGCCGCUUCUUGGACUGACCAAUCUAAUCAUGUUAUUUAAUCCUAAUGAUGGAGGCUCCUACGCCUCUGUCUACCAAGUCACGAACGUGGUGUUACAUUCCAAUCAGGGGAUCCUUAUAUCAAUAUUCUACUGCUUUUUGAAUGGCGAGGUUCGUAGAGUGAUCAGACAGAAAUACAGAAGAAUAAAAAUUCAGAGGAUUCUAAGAAACAACAGUCGCAGAUAUUCCAGAACGUCGUCUUGUGUAUUAUCUCAGACUGAGACUAAGGGCGAUCACUCGUCUUCAUCAGACAGUAACAUUUGCAUGGAAAAUCUAAAUAAUAAUGCUUAUCAGAAAGUCACUCUGAUUACGGAAGUGCGAGAAAAAACAAGUUCAGACAGUAAUUUAGAUAAUUACCUUCACAUUGACGUCAAUAACCAAGAAAAACCUAAAUCUGACAGCAAUUUACACAUGAAUGGUGACGUCAAAAAGCAAAAUAGUUCAUCAUCUGACCCUUCGCAUCUAAGAAUUACCCACCAUGUUAAAUUUAGACUAACGUCAAGUGAAAACGAUUUAGAGAAGUGCAAGUAUGAUGUUUUAGCGGAUGAUGUUUUACAACGUUCUUGUGUUGCAAAACAAGAAAGUGUUGUUCAGAUUCAAACCAUAGAAGACAACAAUGACAGUGAUGAACAAAGUGUGACAAAAAACUCAGGUGUCCAAUGCCAUUCUGAUGAUGAUGGGUCUAGUCAAAAUAAUUGUGAUGUAUUUGAGCCGCAUUAUAUGAAAAAUAAUGAAAAAAAUAAAUCGAUGUCGCAGCUUAACAAAAUUAACAGUGGUUCUAGCUCGUCCAAAAACAAUAGAUUAUCUGUGUUGAGCAGUACAAGUGAAUUUAAUCUCAAUAUCGCAAGUGGUUUUGCCGAUGAAGUUACAAUUGAAUUUUUGAAUUUGUUGAAAAGAAAUGAACCAUUGUUGUCAUCCCAGUAACAUUUGGUUUGCUGAUUCUUCUGUGUUUAUUUAUUUCUCUGUUUCAUUUGUUUUUCUUUCAUUUUUUUAUUCUUUGAUUAAGAAAUAUUCAUUAAAAGUGUUUCCUUUC
rnacentral:misc_RNA from 1 species